rnacentral:SRP_RNA from 2 species
GCCAGGCGUGGUGGUGCGCACCUGUAAUCCCAGUUACUUGGGAGGCUGAGGCAGUAGAAUCGCUCGAACCCAGGAGGUUGAGGUUGCAGUGAGCGGAGAUUGCGCCACUGCACUCCAGCCUGGGCAACAGAGUGAGACUCUGUCUCAA